CUGUGGUCAAAACUAGGGAGAAACGUUUCAUAUAGUUGUAAAUUUAUUGAUUGUAAAUUUACACAACUGUGAUAUAAAGGAGUGAUCAGAUUCACUGCCCUUGAAAAAUUAGGCAUAUCCUGCUGCAUGGUGCUUUACAGUUUACACUAUCAAAGAUUUAAUAAACAUAUAUUAUUUCACAGAUCGCACACUCACUUCAAUUUUUUUCAAUAUUUU
rnacentral:lncRNA from 1 species